rnacentral:lncRNA from 1 species
AGAUUGUGUAUCAGGAUGAUGCUGACUUUGCAGAAUAAGUUCGGAAGGAGCUCCUCAUCAUCAAUUUUUUUGGAAAUAUUUUUGGUGUUCCAGGCCACAGGGCUUCCUCAAGCAGAGGCCACAGCUGGCAGACAAACCACCCCCUUCUUGGAUCAGCCCUGCAAAGUGAAGUAUGCCCUGCUCCCAUGACAGCUUAUGAACCCAGCAUCACAUCCUACUCAGUUCUGAUAAAGAAGACACCUCUCUCAUUCAGGUAAAGAAAGCUUUUCAAGUUUUACUGACUGAAGACAAUCAACCCUCUUCACAACUGAGAACCUGAAGAUUGAAUCUUCUGAGAACAUCAGAGAAAGACUACCCUUGCCAUCCAUACUGCAGAAAAACUUCAGGACCUUGAACCUUGGGUUCAUAAUCUAACAACUCAGAAGUGUCUCUCCACACUCUUGGAACAGUACACCCAUUGGAAACCUUAAGGUGCUGAAAGUUGUGAUACCUUUCCAUACCCAUCAUAAGUCUCACAACUGAUGCUGUCAUAACAACAACAACAAAAAGGUUAACAAGAGAAAAGCGUAACAAUUUUAUUAAAUCAAGUUUUUACAUGAUUUUGGGAGGCUUCAGAAAUAAAGACCCAAAGACCCAGGGAAAAUUAUCCAUUUUUAUGCUUAGAUUCGAUGAAAAAUUGACAGCUGAGUGGAGAUGUGAUUGGACAAAAGGGUAUGAUCUAAUGGUAAUGGACUGAGAAGGAGAUCUAGCCGGACUUGUUUGUUCAGAUUCUUCUUGGCUUCUCUACGUGGCAUUCCUUCCUCCUAGUGUGGGGCAGAACCCCUCUGAAACGAUAGAAGGAAGAAAGGAGAGAGAGACACCUUUCUAAACUUUUAAGAAAACUUCUUUUUCUAUCUAUAAGCCAGGAGAAGCAUGGAAAUGAUAUGAAUUGAUGAAAAAGGAAGAUACUGGAGCUCCUUUAAAGAAUGCUGUCACGCCAUAAGUGGAAGUACUGUGGUAGAAGAGAGACUAUAAAAUAUUGAUGGACUAUUGACCUGAGGUAGCAAAGGAAGAUAAAAGCAAAUUCUCUGAGUGCACAAAGAAGCUACCCGUCUCCAUAGUGUGGAAAAGAACUUCAAUAUUAACAUCAAUAAUGAGUUAUCGUUGUCUGAAAUACAUUUUUCUUGUUACCAUAUCAGAAUUGUAUUCAUUUCAGUUUCAGAGAAAAAAAACAUAUUUUUUUAAAUUUCAUAAUUAUGUUUUCUGUUGCAUAAGAACAGUUCACGUGGAGAGGUGCUUCGAAAUAUACAUCUUAUUAUCAUUAAAUCCUAGCCAUUGUGGCUAUCUUCAUAAGACAGUCCAACAGUUGAGCUGUUUGGGAGUUUAUUUGCUUGGUGUCUUGAUUUUAAGUUAUUAAAAAGUUGUACCUGCCCAAA